AUUCUGCCAAAAGAAAAAUUUUCCGUCAAAUUUUUUUUUCGUAACAAAUUUUUCCUCAGCCAAAAAAUUGAUUUUAAAAAUCCUUAUAAAUAUUUUCUGGCGGCAAAUAGAUUUACAAGGAAUUUUAAAAGGGUUUUAAAAGAUUUACAAGAGAUUUAAAAAUGUUUUAAAAGAUUUACAAGAGAUUUUAAAAGAGUUUUAAAAGAUUUACAAGGGAUUUUAAAAGGGUUUUAAAAAAUUUACAAGUAAUUUUAAAAGGUUUUAAAAUCUCUUGUAAAUCUUUCAAAACACUUUUAAACCCUUUAAAAAUCUUUACAAAUCAUUUGUAAAUCUUUUAAAGCCCUUUAAAGUUCCUUGUAAAUAUUGUAAACCCCUUUUAAAAUCCAUUGUAAAUAUUUUAAAAUCCUUUUAAAACAAUUUUAAACCCUUUAAAAAUCUUUAUAAGACAUUUGUAAAUCUUUUCAAUCCCUUUAAAAUAUCUUGUAAAUCUUUUAAAACCCUUUUAAAAUCCCUUGUAAAUCUUUUAAAAACCUUUUAAAAUCCCUUGUAAAUCACCCUUUUAAAAUCCCUUGUACAUCACCCUUUUAAAAUUCCUUGUAAAUCUUAUAAAACCCCUUUAAAAUCCCUUGUAAAUCUUUUAAAACUCUUUUAAAAUCCCUUGUAAAUCUAUUUCCCGCAAAAAAAAAAAUUGGCGGGAAAAAUAUUUUUGAAAACAAAAUUUGGCGGGAAAUUUUUUUUCGAAAUUUUUUGGCGGGAAAUUUAUUUUGGAAUAUUUUAGGCAAAAAAUAUUAAUAUUUCAUUUUGUAAACCUAAAACAAUUUCCAAAUAAGAGUAAAAUGGUCGUUAAAAAUUUAAAGAGGGUAGAAAUAAAAAUGGAUAAAAUAAAAGAGUAUAGUUGAAAAGGGGCAUCAUAAAAAAGGCAUUAGAAAUAAUUUUUCAUGUUUU
rnacentral:sRNA from 1 species